UCCCUUGUGGUUCAGCUGGUAAAAAAUCCGCCUUCAAUGCGGGAGACCUGGGUUCGAUUCCUGGGUUGGGAA
rnacentral:tRNA from 1 species